UCUUUAUCCAGAGUGGCUGAGGGACAGGCCCGUCGAAGCCACGGCAACCACGCGAUAUCCAACGGUCGCGCUGCGGUGCCAAUUCCUGCUCCAAAGUCCGGCUGAAGC
rnacentral:ncRNA from 2 species